CCUACGGGGGGCUGCAGUGGGGAAUAUUGGACAAUGGGGGGAACCCUGAUCCAGCCAUGCCGCGUGUGUGAAGAAGGCCUUCGGGUUGUAAAGCACUUUAAUUUGGGAGGAAGGGCUUACGGUUAAUAACCGCUAAGUUUUGACGUUACCAAAAGAAUAAGCACCGGCUAACUUCGUGCCAGCAGCCGCGGUAAUACGAAGGGUGCGAGCGUUAAUCGGAAUUACUGGGCGUAAAGCGCGCGUAGGUGGUUCAUUAAGUUAGGAGUGAAAGCCCCGGGCUCAACCUGGGAAUUGCUUCUAAAACUGGUGAGCUAGAGUACGGUAGAGGGUGGUGGAAUUUCCUGUGUAGCGGUGAAAUGCGUAGAUAUAGGAAGGAACAUCAGUGGCGAAGGCGACCACCUGGACUGAUACUGACACUGAGGUGCGAAAGCGUGGGGAGCAAACAGGAUUAGAUACCCCAGUAGUC
rnacentral:rRNA from 1 species